rnacentral:lncRNA from 1 species
UGACACUAACAAUAGUAAAACAAAAAAAAAAAAAAAAAAUGAAUAAGGAAAAUAAGAGAAAAAAGAAAGCAAUGAAGAACACUGUUUUUAAUGUUUGGAAUAUUUUUUAACAAAAUUCAAUAACAACGACUGCCUACAAGUUCAUAAAUCAGCAAUAAGUGACUAUAAAUAUGAUGAACAAAAAAUAGUUAUAUUUUUUUUAAGGAUCUUAAAAAACAAAACAACAAAAAAAAAAAAAUACUAGAUUUCAUAUGUUGUUUUUUAAUUUUUUAAUUUUUUUUUUUUUUUUUUUUUUUUUUUUUUUUUUGUAAAUGUUAAGAUAAGAUGAAUUUAUAUGACGCGUUAGGAAAUGCAGCUAUCAGUGAAGAUAAUAAAGAAGGAUUUAAGCAAUUAAUUUUAAAAAGUGAAAGCUUUAUUGACGAAGUGCUUAAUGAACAACUUAAAGAAAGACAAGAUAAAAGAGAUGAAAUUCUACAACAUAUUUUUGAUAUGGAAAUUUUAAUGGAAAACAUUAAAUUAUUUAUUAGCAUGAAAGACCAGCAAGAAAUAGAAACACUUACCUUGUUAGGGUGUGAUAGUUACGUUUAUGCAGACAUACUAGAUAAAAACAAAAUUUUUAUACAUAUAGGUUAUGAAUUUUACUUAGAAAUGACUCUAGAAAAUGCCGUAGACUUCUUAAAAAAGAAAAUAAAUCUUUACGAAAAGUAAAAAAAAAAUAUAUAUAAAACCUAGUUAUGUAUAUAUAUAUAUAUAUAUAUAUGUUUAUAUUUAAAUAUAUGUGUAUAUAAGUAACAAAUAAAAAUUAAACUUUUAUGAACUAAAUAAAUUCC